ACAUCCAGAGAAUUUAGCAGAGAUGCUUUAGUGCCUUCGGGAACUCUGAGACAGGUGCUGCAUGGCUGUCGUCAGCUCGUGUUGUGAAAUGUUGGUUAAGUCCCGNAACGAGCGCAACCCUUAUCCUUUGUUGCCAGCACGUAAUGGUGGGAACUCAAAGGAGACUGCCGGUGAUAAACCGGAGGAAGGUGGGGAUGACGUCAAGUCAUCAUGGCCCUUACGAGUAGGGCUACACACGUGCUACAAUGGCGCAUACAAAGAGAAGCGACCUCGCGAGAGCAAGCGGACCUCAUAAAGUGCGUCGUAGUCCGGAUUGGAGUCUGCAACUCGACUCCAUGAAGUCGGAAUCGCUAGUAAUCGUAAAUCAGAAUGUUACGGUGAAUACGUUCCCGGGCCUUGUACACACCGCCCGUCACACCAUGGGAGUGGGUUGCAAAAGAAGUAGAUAGCUUAACCUUCGGGAGGGCGUUUACCACUUUGUGAUUCAUGACUGGGGUGAAGUCGUAACAAGGUAAGCGUAGUGCU
rnacentral:rRNA from 1 species